UGGUUUCUUGCAAUAGCAGAAGAUUUUGUUGGAUUUGCAUCCCCUGGAUUUGGAUCUGGAUUUUUGUAACUGAUACUCCCUUUUUCUUGAGUUCUACCUCGAACACUUAUGUCUUCACCCUUGUUUACAAAAUUAACUUCAAGAUCAAAUUUUUCUUUGGACAAUAAAUUAGAUUUAACAUCUUCAAAGGAUAAGGUAUCAUUAUUUCCAUCCAACAUGAUUUCUUUGAAGUGUU
rnacentral:lncRNA from 1 species